UAUGGUUCAAGUCUCCAGUUUAUCUUUCAUCACCUGGUCUGAUUCUUGUAAACAUCUCCCGAUCUAGUUGAAGAAUUUCAACAUGUAAACUCGAAAAUUGAUGGAAAAUGAAAACGACAUGCUAGUGUGGUAGCCAUCCUCUUCAGAUGAGUUAUAUUUACAGCAAUAAAACUGUAAAAAUGCAGCUCAAGAAGUAAUACAACAUUCAUUUCAAUCAACAACUUGUUGUAUACAACGGCAAGUAGAUACUAUGCAGAAUUUGUUGUUACAAGAGAG
rnacentral:lncRNA from 1 species